CUCCACGUCCUUUCCUUUCUCCGCCGCGUCCGGCUCUGAUGGACCUGAAAAACGAGAGUGUGAAAACUAUAUAAAUAUCAGCCGCGAACGAACCGGCCCCGCCGUAGGUGUUUCUAAGGCGAGUGGUCAUUCAUGGUAGAGAUUAAAUUUGUUUGAAUUUUAUUUUGAAAUCAGGAUUAUAGGUUCAUGGCUUCCAACAGACUCAAGAAUCUGCUGUUAAUUACCCCACACUUUCGGUGUUAAGGAACCCUCGAUUAAGAGACCAAAUAUAAAUGCUGAUAAUAAAGGAGACCAAACAGGCAAAUAAAAUUUUACUAAUAUGAUUUGCCGUGUACAUGGCUUAAGCAGGGGCAUACCCCCACUGUACAUAAAUUUUAUAAGAUUAGAUACUCAAUUUAGUGACUUGGUGUGUAGUGUAUCGGAUUUUUUUAGUAUAGAAGUACGUGUAAAUAAAAAAUAGUGUAAGAUACUAUUUUUUUAUUGGACUUAGUGAAGUUUCCUAUGUGUAAGUGAAGGGUUUACUUGGAGGUGAAGUUUCCUAUGUGUAAGUGAAGGGUUUACUUGGAGGUGAAGUUUUUUAUGUGUAAGUGAAAGGUUUACUUGGAGGUG
rnacentral:lncRNA from 1 species